rnacentral:rRNA from 1 species
UUUAAUUCGAGGCAACGCGAAGAACCUUACCCAGGCUUGACAUGAUGGUAGUACUGACCCGAAAGGGAAGGGACCUACGGGAGCCAUCACAGGUGCUGCAUGGCUGUCGUCAGCUCGUGCCGUGAGGUGUUCGGUUAAGUCCGCAAACGAGCGCAACCCUCGGUGCUAGUUACAAGUGUCUAGCGCGACUGCCGGCAAGAAGCUGGAGGAAGGUGGGGAUGACGUCAAGUCAGCAUGGCCUUUAUGCCUGGGGCGACACACACGCUACAAUGGCCGGUACAAAGGGCAGCGAAGCCGCGAGGUGGAGCGAAUCUCAGAAAGCCGGUCUCAGUUCGGAUUGCAGGCUGCAACCCGCCUGCAUGAAGUCGGAGUUGCUAG